GAUGAACGCUGGCGGCGUGCCUAAUACAUGCAAGUCGAGCGAACAGACGAGGAGCUUGCUCCUCUGACGUUAGCGGCGGACGGGUGAGUAACACGUGGAUAACCUACCUAUAAGACUGGGAUAACUUCGGGAAACCGGAGCUAAUACCGGAUAAUAUAUUGAACCGCAUGGUUCAAUAGUGAAAGACGGUUUUGCCGUCACUUAUAGAUGGAUCCGCGCCGCAUUAGCUAGUUGGUAAGGUAACGGCUUACCAAGGCAACGAUGCGUAGCCGACCUGAGAGGGUGAUCGGCCACACUGGAACUGGGACACGGUCCAGACUCCUACGGGAGGCAGCAGUAGGGAAUCUUCCGCAAUGGGCGAAAGCCUGACGGAGCAACGCCGCGUGAGUGAUGAAGGUCUUCGGAUCGUAAAACUCUGUUAUUAGGGAAGAACAAAUGUGUAAGUAACUAUGCACGUCUUGACGGUACCUAAUCAGAAAGCCACGGCUAACUACGUG
rnacentral:rRNA from 1 species